rnacentral:lncRNA from 1 species
GUGUACCAAUAUCAUUUAGAUUUGGUACACGAUCGCUUAGAUCUUGGUACACAAUCGUGUAUUUAUCUAAACGAUUUUUGUUCAAGAUCGUGUACCAAUAUCUUUUAUAUUUGGUACAUGGUACACAAUCUUGAACAACAAUCGUUUAGAUUUGAAAGAUGAAAUAUAUAAGAGAUGACGAAGAUCGUUUACCAAGUGGAAAUUUGAAGAAGUGAAAAAAGAAAAUAAAAAAGAGAUGACAAAGAUGGAAGAAAUUCUAGAAUAGGAAAUGAAGAAAUCACGAACAAGAAUAAAUGAGAAUAUGAAGAAGAAGUAAUAAUAUGAAAAUGAGAUGAAUAAAUCGCAAAGAAGAAAAAGAAAAAGAACCGUAAUAUUUAAGGGCAAACUUGGAAUUUGUACAAAUUAACCUAUUAUUUACAUAAAUAAAAUAUUAGUUAUUUUCAUUUAAAUAUAUUAUUAUGUUGGUAAAAUUUUAUAGGAACAUUUUACUAAAUAGUAAAAUAUUGAAACUAUUUACAAAAUAUAGAAAAAAUCAUCAAAACU